rnacentral:rRNA from 1 species
AUGGCCUCCCCUCACCUCCUUCGACCAACAAAGGCCACACUCAACUGCUUCAUCUUCCAAGAGUGUGUGUGGCGGUGCAAGAAGUGGUUGGGUCUCAGCAUGGAGAGCACGUUGGCGCGCAGCGUCGAGCACGUCGACCAAUACCCCUUCGUCGUCAUCAAGACGCUCAAGCUUGAGCUCGCUGGCAAGAGCGACGUGUCGGGCGCGACAACGCCGCACAAUGAGCUCAUGCCGCGCUUCAUGCGGAAGGGGACCUACUCAGACGAUUCCCUGCAGCACGUCGCGCUAAACAUCAUCCUCGCCGGCCGUGACACCUCCUCGGUGGCGCUCUCCUGGUUCUUUUGGCUGGUCUCCGCCAACCCAACCCCACCGUCGAGCGCAAGACCGUACCACCCAUCGCGGCUUCACGCGCCAUGGCUCCGCCUUGUCCAGCUUGUCGCCGCCAGAGCGCGCGUGCUAGUGGCGAUGGCGCACGUGAGCCGGAGCCGAAGCUUCACGCGCCACGUAGGAGUUGGAGGAGUGGAAGAGGCCACAGCAGCGAUGGUGUGGUCACCAUCUUUGGUGUUCGCUGCAAAGGCGCAUAGCAAAGUGUUCGAUGAAAUGCAUAAACCAAUUCAAAGAAUCCCCGAGAAAAAAAAAAGAACAAGAGCGAAGAACGGUGAGAGAAGACCAUCUUGGCUUCGCAGGUGUUCUGGGUUUCUCUGUUCGUGGCCAACUGCCCCAGGAGGCCAUAACCCCCGCGGCUUCCUCGCUCCCUACUCCAGCGCCCCUGCCCGGAAAUACCUCUCCUCGCCGUCGCCGUCGCCGUCGCCGGCGCCGGAGAAGAGGAGUACAGGGCAGGCCUCCCUGCAUCCACCCGCCGAAGCCGCGCCACCUCCAAGGCGAAGAUCAACGGCUUCCUCCUUCUGGUGGAGACCUGAUACUGUCGCCAAGGCUGAGGGUCUACUGAAGAAAUUAGGUUUGAGCAACCUGAUCACAGAGAAUUAA